AUGCCAGAGGCUCUAUUUCCUAGCAUUUUACAGCUCCUAUAACUGUAGAAUGGUUGUAGGUCACAGGUAUAACCAAUGAAAACACAACCUAAGAUACAAAUCAGGAGCUACUGAUGCAAAGAAUGGGGACCAGGAGGAAGAGUUUCUUCGAGACCUGGUGGUUGAAGAGCAGUGGAUCAUUCUUGGCUGUGGUGGGAGAGGUGCUGAACGUUGUUCACGCUGGCUAUGUCAUGAGUGGAAUCUAUGGCGUCAAGGCUAGAGCUGGAGGGAAUGGGCUCCCCAUUGAGGUGAUGGACUUCAUCCCUGGUGCUAUUCAAGCAGUGGCUGUGGGCUUCCAGUCAGGGAUGCAGUGAAUGAGCCUCUUAUACCAGAGAAGGAUGGAUAGAGAAAAGCAUCAUUACAAAAGUGAAAUGUGUGAAUUUUAUUCUGGCUUUGAACAUUGAGUAGACGAAGAAGACAAUUCCAGACGGAGGAAACUCCACAAGAAAUAUCAUGGAAAUUUGAAAGAACACAGUGGGCUUGGGAAGAGAGAUCUCAGUGGUGGAAGCACCAUCAUCCCAAGGAGACUUAGGACAUUAUUUGAAGAGAGUUUUCCCCUGAGGAAAGUGCUUCAGAGGAGAAAAUACACCAGUUUGAAAGAAACAGCCACGGUUUGCAUGGUGUUCCAUGGUUUGUUUCUACCUUGCUGUGCAUGACCUCCACUGCUAAGGUCAUUUAUGGCCCAAGAUGAUUACUCCAGCUCCAGCCAUCACAUCUGUAUUCCAUCCUGCAGAAAGGAAGAAAGAAGGUGCUUCCAAGACCAAGAUAACCAGGCAAUCAUAGUAGAUGCAUCAAUGCACCCUUGCCCAAGGGCCUAGACAAGAGGAGGAAGGAAAGGAGGAGCACGUGCACAAAGCUAAGGAGGUGAUUAACAACAUGAUACAGUAUUGUUUAGCUUCGCAUGAAUUUUAUCACCUUGCCUAGAACCAGCCACCAUCUGCCAGGGCUCCUGACUUUUUCUGAAAUGAAUAGACACUAAAGCCUGCUGGGGAAUUUCAUGGAAAUCAAGAUGACUCAACCCAGAGUCCAUUUCAAGGCUAGGAUGCUAGAGGACGCCAACAAAGGAGUAGGGAAGUGAAACGGAUCAGCUCACAUCCAAGCCCUUGCAUGAUCAAUCCUGCAGUAGGAGUGCUGCUCAGUUGGGACUCAUGAGAGCCCGGAAGAGGAAAAAGCAGCUCUAAGCAUAGCAAAGAAGCUGUUAUGGAAAAGACCCAAAUGUUAAAAUGGUGGACAUAGUAAAGUGAUUGGUUCUGCUUAGGGGAAUCUAGAUCCCCACAUUUUGACCUCCACUGGAGUCUCAGAAGAACAAGUGCCAGGGGGGCUUGCCACAGAGGCCAAGGCAGUGAAUGUCAGGCACAUCACAGUCCCCAAGAUGGGGAGAAGACUGAGAUGCAGGGUAACAACUGCAAUCCAUUCAUGGGAGCCAUGUUUAUCUUAAAUCAUUGACAGUGAGAUAAGGAUCAUGUCAGCCUUCAUACCUUUGAUGAUGAUCCCAGGCUGCAACAGUGACACAUAGAACUGGAUUCAGUAACUAACUACAGAUUCCAUCAACCAGGACUAGUAAAGUGAAAGGCAGAAAUUGGGAGGAGGGGUUUCUUUCUUGCUUAUAAAACUUUAUUUGGUUGUGUUGAGUAUGUGCAUGUAUGUAUGAAAUCCCAUAAAGCAGUCUUCUUAGGAACAAGCCAACAUGCCACAAUGUAGGAGAUCUUUGGAGCACUGGCCUAAAUGGCAGAGAGCUCAAGGGACUCUGCUUUGUACAAGGCAUGAUUUGUACCACCACCACUAUCCCUGUUUCAGAGCACUGUUGAAUUGUUCCAAACCUGGAUUUCUAUGUCAGCUCCCUGUCUAUAGUACUUGACUGAUAAAUGCUAGUUUCUGAAAUCUGCUUUGGUUCUAUAAUUUAUUAGACAGCUUUUUCUUCCCAUUUUAUUACUUGUUUUUACUGUCAUUGGUAUAUUAUCUCUUACAGUGAAAACAUUCAUAGGCUGAUUGAAGAGAAGAUCUGAAAUUAUUAGGCAGCAAGCAUACAAAACCCUUGCUUUAUAAAGAUAAUAUCUUAAAGGCCUAAUGUCUAUGGUUCAAAGCAGCCUGGAGAUGUUGGCUAAAUCUUCCAUCAUAGAGUCCUCAUGGGAUCUGGAAGCUCUGAUUUAUCUUCCUUCAGGCCCUAUAAGUUAGCUUUCCACAUCUGUAGGUUCCACA
rnacentral:lncRNA from 1 species